GAUCAAGAGACGAAGGGCACACGGUGGAUGCCUUGGCGCUAGAGGCCGAUGAAGGACGUGGGCGGCUGCGAUAAGCCCGGAGUAGGUGCUGACCAACCUCUGAUCCCGGGAUGUCCGAAUGGGGGAACCCACGCGUGGUAAUGCGCGCGUACACUUGCCUGAAUCCAUAGGGCAAGUGGGGUAAGCGGGUGAACUGAAACAUCUAAGUAACCCGAGGAAAGGAAAGAAACCUCGACUCCCUGAGUAGUGGCGAGCGAAAGGGGAAUAGCCCAAACUUCGAUGGAUUGAUAGGCGGCAGCCGUUGCCAUCGGGGGGUUGUAGGAUCUGGCUAGAUCUGUCUGCCGGCAGAUCGGGAAGUUACAAAGUCAUGUGUUAGCCGAAGCGGGUGGAAACUCGCGCCAGAGAAGGUAAAGGCCCUGUAGGCGAAAGCAUGUGGCCUUCCUUGCCAGACACCUGAGUACGGCCGGGCACGGGAAACCCGGUCGGAAGCUACGGGGCCCACCCCGUAAGGCUAAGUACCUGCUAGCGACCGAUAGUGAACUAGUACCGUGAGGGAAAGGUGAAAAGUACCCCUGUAGGGGAGUGAAAUAGUACCUGAAACCGUGUGCUUACAAGCGGUCGGAGCAGGCUUUGGCCUGUGACGGCGUGCCUUUUGCAUAAUGAGCCAGCGAGUUGCUGUUCGGCGGCGAGGUUAAGGAAACGGAGCCGUAGCGAAAGCGAGUCUUAAGAGGGCGUUUUAGUCGUCGGACGCAGACCCGAAACUGAGUGAUCUACCCAUGGGCAGGUUGAAGCGGGGGUAAGACCCCGUGGAGGGCCGAACCGACCUCGGUUGAAAACGGGGCGGAUGACCUGUGGGUCGGAGUGAAAGGCUAAUCAAACUCAGAGAUAUCUGGUUCUCCCCGAAAUAUAUUUAGGUAUAGCGUCACGUGUUCAGCAUCGGCUGUAGAGCACUGUUUGGGCUAGGGGGCCUACCAGCUUACCGACCUCAGACAAACUCCGAAUACCGAUGCUCUAGAGCGUGGCAGUCAGAGUGUGGGGGAUAAGCUUCAUGCUCGAAAGGGAAACAGCCCAGACCGUCGGCUAAGGUCCCUAAUUCUCGACUAAGUGGUAAACGAUGUUCGGUUGCCGAGACAACCAGGAUGUUGGCUUAGAAGCAGCCACCAUUGAAAGAGUGCGUAACAGCUCACUGGUCAAGUGUCCGAGCGCGGAUAAUGUAACGGGGCUGAAGUCGAGAACCGAAGCCGCGGGCCCCGGGGGUGACCUCGGGGCGGUAGGGGAGCGUUCCUAGGCUGCUGAAGCGGCGGCGACAAGCUAGCUGUGAAGGCCUAGGAAGUGAGAAUGCUGGCACGAGUAACGAAAGAGGGGCGAGAAACCCCUCCACCGAAUGCCCAAGGGUUCCUGAGUAAAGCUAAUCUGCUCAGGGUUAGUCGGGACCUAAGCCGAGGCCGAUAGGCGUAGGCGAUGGCCAACCGGUUGAUAUUCCGGUACCACGUAUCCCCCGUUAAACCGAGGGGGUGACGAGGUAGGCUAGGGAAACCCAGGCGGUGGUUGACCUGGGGCAACCGAGUAGGAGGUCGCGUAGGAAAAACCGCGCGGCGUAACUCUGAGACGGGAAGUCGAGCCGUUAGGCGAAGUUCCUGAAGCCAUGCCUCCAAGAAAAUCCUCUAGGAAGGCGGAGCGUGCCCGUACCCCAAACCGACACAGGUGGGCAGGUAGAGAAUACCAAGGUGAUCGGAAGAACCCUCGUUAAGGAACUCGGCAAAAUGGCCCCGUAACUUCGGGAGAAGGGGCGCCUCGUUAGGGUGAUGGCCUACGCGGCCGGAGCCUGAAGAGGCCGCAGCGAAACGGCCCAAGCGACUGUUUAUCAAAAACACAGGUCUCUGCGAAGUCGAAAGACGACGUAUAGGGGCUGACGCCUGCCCGGUGCCGGAAGGUCACGAGGAGGGGUUAGUCUUCGGACAAAGCCCUGAAUCUAAGCCCCGGUAAACGGCGGCCGUAACUAUAACGGUCCUAAGGUAGCGAAAUUCCUUGUCGGGUAAGUUCCGACCUGCACGAAUGGCGUAACGACUUGGGCGCUGUCUCAACGAGGGAUCCGGUGAAACUGUAGUCUCGGUGAAGAUGCCGAGUACCCGUGGCUGGACGGAAAGACCCCGUGAACCUUUACUGCAGCUUGAUGUUGAAGUCUGGCACAGGUCGUCCAGGAUAGGUGGGAGGCUUUGAAGCGAGGGCGCUAGCUUUCGUGGAGCCACCCUUGGGAUACCACCCUUCUUGUUCUGGGCUUCUAACCCGAUGCCGUGAUCCGGGUCGGGAACAGCGUCAGGUGGGCAGUUUGACUGGGGCGGUCGCCUCCUAAAAUGUAACGGAGGCGCACAAAGGUUCCCUCAGCACGGUUGGAAAUCGUGCGCAGAGUGUAAAGGCACAAGGGAGCUUAACUGCGAGACUGACAAGUCGAGCAGAUGCGAAAGCAGGUCUUAGUGAUCCGGCGGUUGAGAGUGGAAUUGCCGUCGCUCAACGGAUAAAAGGUACUCCGGGGAUAACAGGCUGAUCCUCCCCAAGAGUCCACAUCGACGGGAGGGUUUGGCACCUCGAUGUCGGCUCGUCGCAUCCUGGGGCUGGAGUAGGUCCCAAGGGUUGGGCUGUUCGCCCAUUAAAGCGGUACGCGAGCUGGGUUCAGAACGUCGUGAGACAGUUCGGUCCCUAUCCGCCAUGGGCGCUGGAGACUUGAGAGGAGUCGUCCCUAGUACGAGAGGACCGGGACGAACAGACCUCUGGUGUAUCAGUCGUCGUGCCAACGGCGCUGCUGGUUAGCUACGUCUGGACGGGAUAACCGCUGAAAGCAUCUAAGCGGGAAGCCCACCUCGAGAUGAGGUCUCCCAUCCCCUUGAGGGAGUAAGGGUCGUGGUAGACGACCACGUUGAUAGGCGGGACGUGUAAGCACGGCGACGUGUUCAGCGGACCCGUACUAAUAGCCCGAGGUCUUGAUUUA
rnacentral:rRNA from 1 species